GAUAAAUCAAAUAGUCUCUUGGAUGAUGAUGAUAUAUUCAAGGAUGUUGAUGUUGAUGAUAGCCUAAAUCGACCAUCGAUGGAGAUUGAUAAUUAUUUGAAUACUCCUCGUCAACCAUCAAUUGAAGGGCAGAAUUAUGAUGUUCUCAAGUAUUGGGAAUCUCAAAUUAAUGUGUACCCCAUAUUAGCUAUUAUGGCUAGGGAUGUUUUGGCCAUUCCUAUUACAUCGGUAGCCUCUGAGUCUUCUUUUAGCAUGGGUGGUCGUAUUUUAAACAAGUAUAGGAGUGCACUUUUGCCUAAGAAUGUUGAGGCGUUGGUUACCACACAAAAUUGGUUACGUGGUUAUGAUUGUGAUAUUGAAGAAGACGUCCUUGAAAUUGGUAAAGAGGUGAUAGAUGAAAGUUUUGCAUCUAAUUAGAAAGUUCUGCCAUUCUGCUGCUGCAGUCUGCAGUGCUGCUGAUCUGCCAUUCUGCUGCAGACUGUGGUGCUGGUGUUAAUCUUGUUAUGCUAAAAACUUGUACAAUUCUGUUGUUAAAACUUGUUUGUAUGGAUUGGUUGGUUUGAUUUUGUUACUUUGUUGUUAAAAAUUGUUUAAUUAUGUGUAUGGAUUGGAUUAGUUUGUUUUGGUUUUGUAAAGUUGAAACUUGUUGAAUUAGAAGUUUUAUAACUUGUUAAUGCUAUUAAUCCUAUUAUGCUACUGGAAUACUGCUAUGUUGAUGAAUAAGGCCCAAAAGGCCAAAAAAUUGUAGGUUAUUGCCCAAAACCAAAAUUGCAGAUUAUUCCCCAAAAACCAAAUUAAAGUCAAUACUCACGAAUUAGCUAACGAAGUGCUAUUUCUAAGGGACUUUAGUAUUAACUAAGUUACUAAGAUAUAUACAAUUAAUAUGAUAAGUACAUGGUCUCAAGAAAAAUUGAUAAGUAUGGAAUAUAUGCUAAAUAUAUUCUAAGAUUUCUAAUAUUUAAUCCAUAUAAUUACAUAAAAAAGUGCACCAAAAAAAAAUUAUUAUUACAUACAAAAAAAGCUUGUAAACGG